GGGAAACUGGGUCUAAUACCGGAUAUGACUCCUCAUCGCAUGGUGGGGGGUGGAAAGCUUUUGCGGUUUUGGAUGGACUCGCGGCCUAUCAGCUUGUUGGUGAGGUAAUGGCUCACCAAGGMGACGACGGGUAGCCGGCCUGAGAGGGUGACCGGCCACACUGGGUCUGAGACACGGCCCAGACUCCUACGGGAGGCAGCAGUGGGGAAUAUUGCACAAUGGGCGAAAGCCUGAUGCAGCGACGCCGCGUGAGGGAUGACAGGCCUUCGGGUUGUAAACCUCUUUCAGUAGGGAAGAAGCGAAAGUGACGGUACCUGCAGAAGAAGCGCCGGCUAACUACGUGCCAGCAGCCGCGGUAAUACGUAGGGCGCAAGCGUUAUCCGGAAUUAUUGGGCGUAAAGAGCUCGUAGGCGGUUUGUCGCGUCUGCCGUGAAAGUCCGGGGCUCAACCCCGGAUCUGCGGUGGGUACGGGCAGACUAGAGUGAUGUAGGGGAGACUGGAAUUCCUGGUGUAGCGGUGAAAUGCGCAGAUAUCAGGAGGAACACCGAUGGCGAAGGCAGGUCUCUGGGCAUUAACUGACGCUGAGGAGCGAAAGCAUGGGGAGCGAACAGGAUUAGAUACCCUGGUAGUCCAUGCCGUAAACGUUGGGCACUAGGUGUGGGGGACAUUCCACGUUUUCCGCGCCGUAGCUAACGCAUUAAGUGCCCCGCCUGGGGAGUACGGCCGCAAGGCUAAAACUCAAAGGAAUUGACGGGGGCCCGCACAAGCGGCGGAGCAUGCGGAUUAAUUCGAUGCAACGCGAAGAACCUUACCAAGGCUUGACAUGGACCGGAUCGCCGCAGAAAUGUGGUUUCUCCUUUGGGGCCGGUUCACAGGUGGUGCAUGGUUGUCGUCAGCUCGUGUCGUGAGAUGUUGGGUUAAGUCCCGCAACGAGCGCAACCCUCGUUCCAUGUUGCCAGCACGUAGUGGUGGG
rnacentral:rRNA from 1 species